AUACGUAGGGUGCAAGCGUUAAUCGGAAUUACUGGGCGUAAAGCGUGCGCAGGCGGUUCGGAAAGAAGGAUGUGAAAUCCCAGGGCUCAACCUUGGAACUGCAUUCUUAACUACCGCACUAGAGUCUGUCAGAGGGGGGUAGAAUUCCGCGUGUAGCAGUGAAAUGCGUAGAUAUGCGGAGGAAUACCGAUGGCGAAGGCAGCCCCCUGGGAUAAUACUGACGCUCAUGCACGAAAGCGUGGGUAGCAAACAGGAUUAGAUACCCUGGUAGUCCACGCCCUAAACGAUGUCAACUAGCUGUUGGGCCCUUCGGGGCUUAGUAGCGUAGCUAACGCGUGAAGUUGACCGCCUGGGGAGUACGGUCGCAAGAUUAAAACUCAAAUGAAUUGACGGGG
rnacentral:rRNA from 1 species